UCGAUAACGAUGUGUAUUUUCGUGCUCGCUCUCUGCACCAACACAAAACACGCAACUAAAUUUAAUUUAAAGACCCAUUAAAAACAAUGCAAACGGAACCAAUUAAGUGAUAAAGUGGCCACCGCGGCACCGCCGAAAGCGAGCGCAGUGAAUAUUCCGAAAGGAAGCGCUUUUGGGGAAACUUGCACAAACCUUUUUUUCGUAAGCGCUCUGCCUCUAAUGUGGUCUCUUUCGCACAGCAGAAUUACUAGUUGCUGUGUGUGUGCGUGCGUGUGAGUGUUUGUGUGUGACUUUGACUGCAGUUCGCGUUCGUUUUUUUUAUACUAAUAAACCACAAAUAGACAGCAAUAAAAGUAAAAUUAUUUGAUGUGAGAAAAGAAGAGCGGAAAUCCGCAUUCGUUGAAAAUGCUGGAGGCAGCAGCAACAGCAAAGACAACUUGCCGCCAACGAAACAACAACUACAAGGCUCUAUCACCAACACACGACAACAACAAAAAUUACUACAGCCUUAUUACUACACAGGAAAAUUGUGACUGUGUGUGUGCGUGCGAGUGAGUGCGCGUAUUUGUGUUGAAUAAUGUUUAAACAUUUCUGAGUUUCGCACACAAGAAACAAUUUAAGUUGCAGUCACCAGUCGCAGCGACCAGACAUACGAUUGAAGCAAACGAAAAGCAGCUAACUUUAUAAAUAAAAUCGCCUCAGAUACAAGCAAUAAUAAAACUAAACCGAAAAUAAAUCAACAGAAGUAAAAACGUUAAACAUUUAAUAAAGAAUAAAGUUGAUUACCCAUUGCAUUAAAGAAAUAGUAGCCAUUAGCUUUAUUAAAAAAAAAACAAACAAAAUAAAUAAAUAUAAAAAAAAAUAGACGCGUAAAAAUUUUGAGCAGAACUUAGCAAGCCUAUAAAAUACGCCUUCCAAUAGUUAUUAUAUAUACACGCAUUAUAUACAUGCAUAUACAUAGCCAUAGCACUUAAACAUAUAUACAACGCUUAGAUAAUGUAGAAACAAAUGAGAGAAUGAAAGAAGAACGAUAUAUAAUCGUGGAAAAAGUGCGUUAUAUUCUAACGGUGCAAUCAAACCUUAAUGCAGAUCUAUACGUGGCUAAUCGAUAUUACGGCUACCCUAAUAUAUAUAUACAUUAAAAA